GGGGUUCGGUCCAACUCCCAACCCCUGUGACAUACCAAUUGUUGCCUCGGCGGAUCAGCCCGCUCCCGGUAAAACGGGACGGCCCGCCAGAGGACCCCUAAACUCUGUUUCUAUAUGUAACUUCUGAGUAAAACCAUAAAUAAAUCAAAACUUUCAACAACGGAUCUCUUGGUUCUGGCAUCGAUGAAGAACGCAGCAAAAUGCGAUAAGUAAUGUGAAUUGCAGAAUUCAGUGAAUCAUCGAAUCUUUGAACGCACAUUGCGCCCGCCAGUAUUCUGGCGGGCAUGCCUGUUCGAGCGUCAUUUCAACCCUCAAGCCCCCGGGUUUGGUGUUGGGGAUCGGCGAGCCCUUGCGGCAAGCCGGCCCCGAAAUCUAGUGGCGGUCUCGCUGCAGCUUCCAUUGCGUAGUAGUAAAACCCUCGCAACUGGUACGCGGCGCGGCCAAGCCGUUAAACCCCCAACUUCUGAAUGUUGACCUCGGAUCAGGUAGGAAUACCCGCUGAACUUAAGCAUAUCA
rnacentral:rRNA from 1 species